GAUGAACGCUAGCGGCAGGCCUAACACAUGCAAGUCGAGGGGCAUCAUGGCGUAGCAAUACGCUGAUGGCGACCGGCGCACGGGUGCGUAACGCGUAUGGAACCUACCCACCGCAGGGGGAUAACCCGCCGAAAGGCGGACUAAUACCCCAUGGUUCCCCGACCCUGCCUGGGGUUGGGGGUAAAGCCUACGGGCGGCGGUGGAUGGCCCUGCGUGCCAUUAGCUGGCUGGUGGGGUAACGGCCCACCAGGGCGACGAUGGCUAGGGGGUCUGAGAGGACGAUCCCCCACACUGGUACUGAGACACGGACCAGACUCCUACGGGAGGCAGCAGUGAGGAAUAUUGGUCAAUGGGCGAGAGCCUGAACCAGCCAAGUCGCGUGAAGGAAGAAGGUCUUAUGGAUUGUAAACUUCUUUAGCAGGGGAAUAAAGGUUAUUACGAGCUAAUAAUUUGCAGGUACUCUGACGAAAAGGAUCGGCUAACUCCGUGCCAGCAGCCGCGGUAAUAUCACGUUAC
rnacentral:rRNA from 1 species